GAAUUUCCUUUUUUUUUCAUAUUAGAUUUGGGGCAAGAUGGAAAGUCUCUACUAAUUACGAAUAUUGAUAUGGAACCAUGCCCCGUAGACCCCCAGCUAAGGAUUAUUCUUCAGUGGCUUCUUGCUUCUGAGGCUGAAGUUGCAGAACUUUAUUUCCAUGACUCGUCAAAGAAGGAGUUUAUGCUACUUUCAAAAUGCUUACAAGAAAAAGGAUGGAAAGUGGGAGACCUUCUGCAGGCUGUGCUUAAGUACUACGAAGUGAUGGAAAAUGCUUCUAAUGAGGAAAGAUGCAAGUCACUGUUUGAUUGGCUCUUGGAAAAUGCAUAGUGCAAAACCUCAAACCAGUAUAUUUUAUUAUUUGUUUUGGGAGGGAGGAAACAUGCUUAGGGUAAAAUUUGAAUUUGAAUAGCGAAUAUUAACAUUUUAAGUGAACUGGGAGGAAAGUAAAUAUAACUUCUUAAGCGCUUUGUGUCAUUACAGUGUAUAUAGUUCAUACUUUUGUAAUCGCUGUCAGAUAUUGCCUUCAUUUAUUGUUCUGUACACAUGCUGAGAUCCUAAGAAAAUAUAUGUGAAGGGAAUCCUAACCAUGAGGUUUUCAGGGGCAGUGUCAGGUGGCUUUCUUUUUGCCUUCACAUAGUGCUGGUAGAAACUGCACGGAAAUGGCUGGGGGUAGGUUCCAGUGAUAGUUAUGAUUCUGCUCCUUUGCAAACAAAGGGCAUCUGAUUAAUAAGUAGUUUGAUAUCAGGAAAUAUAAUGGAGGCUACUUCUGUUUCUUUCUGUUAGAUUUUUUUUUUUUUUUUUUUUUUACUUUUAGUCCCGUUUUUUUAACUCAGGUUUUUUCAUAUGUCAGCUAUUGGUAGCUUUUUCAUUCCCCCACACUAUUCAGUUUCUUAGCAGAUAUGUUUGUAUUUUAGGUUUGUAUAAACACCAUAAGUGAUACUUUCCCCAUUCUUUCAUCAAGUGAAUUUAUCUACCAGUGCUGCCAGUUAUUUUGGCAUGAAGGUGUGUGUGUGUGUGUGUGUGUGUGUAAAGGAGUACUUUAACCUUGCUAGUGGUUGCUUCAUUUUUAUUUCACUGUUUUCUUAGUUAGAAACCCACCGUUAACAUUAAAAAGGUGCUUCAAAAUAAAAUGUCUAUAAAGAUUGUGCACUAAAUAGUCUUUCCCUUUUUGACUAUUUUGGACCCCCAGCUACCCUAUAAAUGAAAAUUUAAGUUGCAAAGUAUUGAAAUUUUAAAAACAAUUGUGAAUAUGGAAAGGAAUUUAGAGAGGCCCAAUAAUAGUUUUCAUUGUUGGAUUAUCCACUUAACCAAGGAUAAAUUUUUCCUAGGAAAAAAUGGAAUUCCCCUUUCCCCGAUAACAUGAUGUUUGUGGGCUCUUCGUUUCCUAUUACUUUGUCUCUAGUACUGCAGGUUUACAUAACAAAGGACCAAGAUCGUGUCUUGGUUUUGUAUUAUAUAUGGGCAUGUAUGUGUGAAUUUUCAUGUCUUUUACUAGCGAAUUCGGGUAAUCUAGGGUAAAUCACAUUUUGUGGGGAGUUUGAUUUUGCUCCACUUAUUUUCUUUUUUUCCCCGAGCACUGACUGUUCUGGAAGCUGCACAGAAUUUAGAAGACAUAGUAUCUGCCAAGGAGUAGAUAAUAAGGGUUCUUACAUAAAUUUGAAUUCAUAAUUAUAGUAGAGAAACAUGGUUUUUAGUGAUAGAUUCAUACUAGCUUUUAAAAAACAAUGUCAAAAGCUAUUUCGACCAUUCUGAGGUUUCAUUGUAAACUGUCCUUUCUCAGUUUAACAUACAAAACAUAGACAAGCCUUAAACAUAAAUUUUCCUCAAGUUUCAAGUAUGUUUUAAGGUGGAGAAACUCAGUCGAUGUGUAACCAGAAUUGUUUCUGCACUUAGGUUUUCAGAACUUGAAAUAUGGCAGCACUAAACUGGGUUUUUUAAACAUUAGGACCAGAAAUGUUUGUCCUUGUUAAUUACAAUGUGAACUUAUCAUUUAGUUUAGAUUGCAUUUUGACAAGUCUUCUGUCAAAUUGUGUUUACUGACUUGAGUGUAUUUAUGAGUUUGAACAACAGUAAAACAGUUCUGAACUUCUUUUAAACUAAUGCGACAAUUUAUUAGUUUUAUAAAACUUUGCAUUUGAAAACGUUUAUUUCUGUUAAUGAUAUAUUCUCGUUGAGGCAAACUUUUCCUCAUAUUCUUAUUUCCUUUGCAUUUUGCAGGAGUUAUGUUGGGCUCAGAGUUCCCUUGUAUAACCACUGCGUGAUAAUAGACCAGUCAUUAGGUGUUGGCAUGUUUGGUAAAUAAGAGUGGAACUCUACACUUCCAUCAGUUCAGCACAGAGGUAUAGAGACAAUUAUUAAGUACUGAAAGAGAGGCAUGAGUUAAACUUCCUUAUAUAGAGAGAACAUUUGAGUUUAAAAGAGUAUUUUUUAGUCAAGUAUGGUCUAACUGAACCUUUGUUAAUGGCACUUUGUGUUUUUUUUCCCAAAGAUAUUCUAGAUCUGUUUCGUUGUGCAAUCUUCAGAACAGAUCUGUUGAGGAUAAGUAUGUCUUAUUUUAUUACAAAUCUGCUUGACAUAUUUAUAUUGUAACAUUGUAAUAUUACUAUUCUGUACGUUUUGGCCCUUAUGAAAAAUGUCUUAUUCAGAACUAUUAGUAGUGAUGUGGCUGAAUUUUCUGUUUAUCAGUUUUAAAACCAUUGAAACAAUCUAUGGAAACAAAGUGAGUAAGACUAUUAUUUCAGACUGAAAUGUGAUAAUUCUUUCAUAUUCUUCCUUUCCUAAGCCAAGUUUAAGUUACUUUUAUAUUUUUGGUAUAUUAAUAUUGAUUUUGAAUAUAUGUACUGAUUUAUACAAAAGGAAUGAUUUAUUUAUAAGUCACAGAAAAAUGACAAUAUCUGUUGGAUGUUUGAUGUAAUUUAAUGGCAAUAUCAAAUGUUUGAGAGUAUUCACUCAGUGGACAUAUGUGCUAACAUCCUUAUACAUUGAAAAAUAUUUCACUUACCUUUUAGAUAUUUGAUGUGAAUUAAUUCAUAGUAUUUUAAUUUUGCUUAAAUAAGGGUUUUAUGUUAUUGGUAGGAGAAUUUUAAGUAUGUACUAACUGCACUAUGUAUAAAGUGAAAGAUCAUUUAUUCACGUGACUUUGGCAUUAGGUGACUUUGACAUUAACGCACGUUUCUCAGAUGCAAAGUUAAGUCUUGAUUCAUCAGAGUCCAUAUUCCAAUGAUUACUAAGUUAAUUAUCUUGCUAAUAUUCUUCCACAGUUAAUAUUAUCUUCUCAUUAGUAUAUCACUUCACAUUUUUUAUCAAAAGAAACGUUCCACAGAAUUUAAAAAAGUAUGUGAUGCAUCCAUAUGCACAGUAUAGGGAAAAUACUUUUGGUUAAAAAACCUGUCUACCUUUCACCAGCACAAGAGAAUUAGAACUUCAUUGGGAAUUAGAAAAACUAAAGUGAAAUGCAUUUUUUUCUCAUUUUCAACAAAAACCCUUCAAGCAUUUC